UCAAUCGGUAAUCCCUCAUUUCUUUUCUUUCAGUUGGUUACUACCAUUUUCGUUAAAUCCGAUGAAUGGUGGUUUGAUUCUUAUUUCGGUUCAGCAGGUUCGGUUCGAUGCCCGGGUCAAACCUGGUCAAACUUGGUCAACUGAGGUCUCGAUGCUCUCGGUAGUUCAACGACGGUGACCGCGGUGUUCCACCCUCCAAAUCUUUUACGCUCGUCAACACUUGGAUAAUCGGAAGACUUAGCAAUUAUGUUGACAGUCAAGAUGUUGAAGAAUCAAGUUAGGAUGGACUA